CAGCAGCCACGGGAAUACAGAGGGUGCAAGCGUUAAUCGGAUUUACUGGGCGUAAAGGGCGCGUAGGUGGUUAUUUAAGUGAGAUGUGAAAUCCCCGGGCUUAACCUGGGAACUGCAUCUUAUACUGGGUAACUGGAGUGCAAGAGAGGGUAGUGGAAUUUCCGGUGUAGCGGUGAAAUGCGUAGAUAUCGGAAGGAACACCUGAGGCGAAAGCGGCUCACUUGACCAUAACUGACGCUGAGGCGCGAAAGCUAGGGGAGCAAACAGGAUUAGAUACCCCUGUAGUCCCUGUCUCUUAUAC
rnacentral:rRNA from 1 species